rnacentral:rRNA from 1 species
AUUGAACGCUGGCGGCAGGCCUAACACAUGCAAGUCGAACGAGUGGCGGACGGGUGAGUAAUGUCUGGGACACUGCCUGAUGGAGGGGGAUAACUACUGGAAACGGUAGCUAAUACCGCAUACCCACAGAUGUGCCCAGAUGGGAUUAGCUGGUUGGUGGGGUAACGGCUCACCAGGGCGACGAUCCCUAGCUGGGAUGAGGUGAUGACCAGCAACACUGGCACUGAUGCACGGGCCAGACUCCUACGGGAGGAAGCAGUGGGGAAUAUUGCACAAUGGGCGCAAGCCUGAGGCAGCCAUGCCGCGUGUAUGAAGAAGGCCUUCGGGUUGUAAAGUACUUUCAGCGGGGAGGCGUUACCCGCAGAAGAAGCACCGGCUAACUCCGUGCCAGCAGCCGCGGUAAUUC